rnacentral:rRNA from 1 species
CAGCGCCACAAGUGGCAAUCACGUUUAUUGGGCCUAAAGCGUCCGUAGCCGGUUUAGCAAAUCUUUUGUGAAAUCGUCAGGCUUAACUUGACGAAUUGCAGAAGACACUACUAAACUAGGGACUGGGAGGAGUCAGAAGUAUUCUGGGGGGACCGGUAAAAUGGUAUAAUCCCCAGAGGACUACCGAUGGCGAAGGCAUCUGACCAGAACAGAUCCGACGGUGAGGGACGAAAGCCAGGGGAGCAAACCGGAUUAGAUACCCGUGUAGUCC